AGGUUAAGUUAACAAGGGCGCAUGGUGAAUGCCUUGGCACUAGGAGCCGAUGAAGGACGGGACUAACACCGAUAUGCUUCGGGGAGCUGUACGUAAGCUAUGAUCCGGAGAUUUCCGAAUGGGGCAACCCAGCAGUUUUAAUCAACUGUUACCACUAGAUGAAUUCAUAGUCUAGUUGGAGGUAAACGCUGUGAACUGAAACAUCUCAUUAGCAGCAGGAAUAUAAAGAAAUUUCGAUUCCCUAAGUAGCGGCGAGCGAACGGGGAACAGCCCAAACCAAAGUGCUUGCACUUUGGGGUUGUAGGACUGAACAUUUGAGUUACCAAAGAACUUGAUAGUCGAAGGAUUUGGGAAAAUCCGCCAUAGAUGGUGAUAGCCCAGUAGAUUAAAUCAAAUUCUCUCAGUUCAGGAUCCUGAGUACGGCGGAACACGUGAAAUUCCGUCGGAAUCCGGGAGGACCAUCUCCCAAGGCUAAAUACUACCUAGUGACCGAUAGUGAACCAGUACCGUGAGGGAAAGGUGAAAAGCACCCCGGGAGGGGAGUGAAAUAGUUCCUGAAACCAUGUGCCUACAAUAAGUCAGAGCGCGUUAAUGCGUGAUGGCGUGCCUUUUGUAGAAUGAACCGGCGAGUUAUGAUCCCGUGCAAGGUUAAGACUAAAAAGUCGGAGCCGUAGCGAAAGCGAGUCUGAAAUGGGCGUUUUGAGUACGAGGUUAUAGACCCGAAACCAGGUGACCUAUCCAUGUCCAGGUUGAAGGUGCGGUAAAACGCACUGGAGGACCGAACCCGUGUAAGUUGAAAAUUGCUGGGAUGAGGUGUGGAUAGCGGUGAAAUUCCAAACGAACUUGGAGAUAGCUGGUUCUCUCCGAAAUAGCUUUAGGGCUAGCCUCGGAAUUAGGAUCAUGGAGGUAGAGCACUAUUUGGACUAGGGGCCCGUCUUGGGUUACUGAAUUCAGAUAAACUCCGAAUGCCAUUGAUUCAUAUCCGGGAGUCAGACGAUGAGUGAUAAGAUCCACCGUCGAAAGGGGAACAGCCCAGACCAUCAGUUAAGGUCCCUAAAUGUAUGCUAAGUGGAAAAGGAUGUGGAGUUGCAUAGACAACUAGGAUGUUGGCUCAGAAGCAGCCACCAUUUAAAGAGUGCGUAAUAGCUCACUAGUCGAGUGAUCCUGCGCCGAAAAUGUACCGGGGCUAAGCAUACUACCGAAACCAUGGAUGCGACCAUUAGGUCGCGUGAUAGGAGAGCGUUCUAAGGGCGGUGAAGCAAGAUCGUGAGGACUUGUGGAGCGCUUAGAAGUGAGAAUGCCGGUAUGAGUAGCGAAAGAUAGGUGAGAAUCCUAUCCACCGAAUGACUAAGGUUUCCUGGGGAAGGCUCGUCCUCCCAGGGUUAGUCGGGACCUAAGUCGAGGCCGAGAGGCGUAGACGAUGGAUAACAGGUUGAGAUUCCUGUACUAGUUAAGUGCGUUUGAGCAAUGGAGGGACGCAGGAGGCUAAGAUGUGCAUUCUGUUGGAUUAGAAUGUCCAAGCAGUAAGUCUUGUGAAGAGUCAAAUGCUUUUCACUUUAAGGACAAGCUGUGCUGGGGAGCGAAAUUUAGUAGCGAAGCGUCUGAUGUCACACUGCCGAGAAAAGCUUCUAGUGAGUACUUAACUACCCGUACCGCAAACCGACACAGGUAGUCCGAGGAGAGAAUCCUAAGGUGAGCGAGUGAACUCUCGUUAAGGAACUCGGCAAAAUGACCCCGUAACUUCGGGAGAAGGGGUGCUGAUCGCAAGAUCAGCCGCAGUGAAUAGGCCCAGGCGACUGUUUAUCAAAAACACAGGUCUCUGCAAAAUCGUAAGAUGACGUAUAGGGGCUGACGCCUGCCCGGUGCUGGAAGGUUAAAAGGAUGGGUUAGCUUCGGCGAAGCUCAGAAUUGAAGCCCCAGUAAACGGCGGCCGUAACUAUAACGGUCCCUAAGGUAGCGAAAUUCCUUGUCGGGUAAAGUUCCGACCCGCACGAAAGGCGUAACGAUCUGGGCACUGUCUCAACGAGAGACUCGGUGAAAUUAUAUUGUCCGUGAAGAUGCGGACUACCCGCGACAGGACGGAAAGACCCCAUGGAGCUUUACUGUAGCUUGAUAUUGAGUGUUUGUACAGCUUGUACAGGAUAGGUAGGAGCCAUAGAAACCGGAACGCUAGUUUCGGUGGAGGCGUUGGUGGGAUACUACCCUCGCUGUAUGACCACUCUAACCCGCACCACUAAUCGUGGUGGGAGACAGUGUCAGGUGGGCAGUUUGACUGGGGCGGUCGCCUCCUAAAAAGUAACGGAGGCGCCCAAAGGUUCCCUCAGAAUGGUUGGAAAUCAUUCGCAGAGUGUAAAGGCACAAGGGAGCUUGACUGCGAGACAGACAGGUCGAGCAGGGACGAAAGUCGGGCUUAGUGAUCCGGUGGUACCGUAUGGAAGGGCCAUCGCUCAACGGAUAAAAGCUACCCUGGGGAUAACAGGCUUAUCUCCCCCAAGAGUCCACAUCGACGGGGAGGUUUGGCACCUCGAUGUCGGCUCAUCGCAUCCUGGGGCUGUAGUCGGUCCCAAGGGUUGGGCUGUUCGCCCAUUAAAGCGGUACGCGAGCUGGGUUCAGAACGUCGUGAGACAGUUCGGUCCCUAUCCGUCGCGGGCGUAGGAAAUUUGAGAGGACCUGUCCUUAGUACGAGAGGACCGGGAUGGACAUACCUCUGGUGUACCAGUUGUGCCGCCAGGCGCAUCGCUGGGUAGCUACGUAUGGAUGUGAUAAACGCUGAAAGCAUCUAAGUGUGAAACACACCUCGAGAUGAGAUUUCCCAUUCCUUUAUGGAAGUAAGACCCCUGAAAGAUGAUCAGGUAGAUAGGUUAGAAGUGGCAGUGCGGUGACGCAUGAAGCGGACUAAUACUAAUCGGUCGAGGACUUAACCAAG
rnacentral:rRNA from 1 species